UAUCAUGCUGGGAUGGGACAAAAUGUUUGU
rnacentral:piRNA from 1 species